CUGCAUGGCUGUCGUCAGCUCGUGUCGUGAGAUGUUGGGUUAAGUCCCGCAACGAGCGCAACCCUUGCCUUUAGUUGCCAGCAGUUCGGCUGGGCACUCUAAAGGGACUGCCGGUGUUAAACCGGAGGAAGGUGGGGAGUGACGUCAAGUCCUCAUGGCCUUUAUGACCAGGGCGACACACGUACUACAAUGGCCGAUACAAAGGGCAGCGACACUGCGAGGUGAAGCCAAUCCCGUAAAAUCGGUCUCAGUCUGGAUUGGAGUCUGCAACUCGACUCCAUGAAGUUGGAAUCGCUAGUAAUCGUGGAUCAGCAUGCCACGGUGAAUACGUUCCCGGGCCUU
rnacentral:rRNA from 1 species